GACAGAGGUGCCGAGCGUUAGGCGGAAUCACUGGGCUUAAAGCGUGUGUAGGUGGAUGCCUAAGUACCUUGUGAAAUCCCACAGCUUAACUGUGGAACUGCUUGGUAUACUGGGUGUCUUGAGUCACUCAGGGGCGAGCGGAACAAAUGGUGGAGCGGUGAAAUGCGUAGAUAUCAUUUGGAACGCCAAUGGUGAAAACAGCUCGCUGGGGGUGUACUGACACUGAGACACGAAAGCCAGGGGAGGCGAACGGG
rnacentral:rRNA from 1 species